rnacentral:rRNA from 1 species
AUUGAACGCUAGCGGGCUGCUUUACACAUGCAAGUCGAACGAGUGGCGGACGGGUGAGUAAUAUAUCGGAAGGUGCCCAGUAGCGGGGGAUAACUACUCGAAAGAGUGGCUAAUACCGCAUACUAUUGGAGCGGCCGAUAUCGGAUUUGCUAGUUGGUGGGGUAAAGGCUCACCAAGGAAACGAUCCGUAGCUGGUUUGAGAGGACGACCUGCCACACUGGGACUGAGACACGGCCCAUACGCCGUCGGGAGGCAGCAGUGGUGAAGUUUGGACAAUGGGUGAAACCCUGAUCCAGCCAUCCCGCGUGUAUGAGAAGGGCGUCAGGUUGUAAAGUACUUUUGGCAGAGAAGCGGUAUCUGCAGAAUAAGCACCGGCUAACUACGUGCCAGCAGCCGCGUAAUAC